rnacentral:rRNA from 1 species
UACGGAGGGAGCUAGCGUUGUUCGGAAUUACUGGGCGUAAAGCGCACGUAGGCGGCUUUUCAAGUCAGGGGUGAAAGCCCGGGGCUCAACCCCGGAAUUGCCCUUGAAACUGGAAGGCUAGAAUCACGGAGAGGUGGGUGGAAUUCCGAGUGUAGCAGUGAAAUGCGUAGAGAUGCGGAGGAACACCGAUGGCGAAGGCAGCCCCCUGGGCUAACACUGACGCUCAGGCACGAAAGCGUGGGGAGCAAACAGG